GAUCAUGGCUCAGAACGAACGCUGGCGGCGCGUUUAAGCAUGCAAGUCGAGCGGCAAGGGCCUUCGGGCCCCUAGAGCGGCGGACGGGUGAGUAACACGUGGACAAUCUGCCCCCCGGCCCGGGAUAGCCCAGGGAAACCUGGAUUAAUACCGGAUGAGACGGGACCCGCGAUGGCGGGACCCGGGAAAGGCGCUGCGGCGCCGCCGGGGGAUGAGUCUGCGUCCCAUUAGCUAGACGGCGGGGUAACGGCCCACCGUGGCGACGAUGGGUAGCCGGCCUGAGAGGGUGGACGGCCACAUUGGAACUGAGACACGGUCCAGACUCCUACGGGAGGCAGCAGCUAAGAAUCUUCCGCAAUGGGCGAAAGCCUGACGGAGCCGACGCCGCGUGAACGAAGAAGGCCGUGAGGUUGUAAAGUUCUUUUCGGGAGGGGGAACAACCGUGGCAGGGAAUGGCCGCGGGAUGACGUGAAUCCCGGAAUAAGCCCCGGCUAACUACGUGCCAGCCGCCGC
rnacentral:rRNA from 1 species